rnacentral:rRNA from 1 species
UGCGUAGGGGGCAAGCGUUGUCCGGAUUUAUUGGGCGUAAAGAGCGUGUAGGCGGCCAGGUAGGUCUGCUGUGAAAACUCGAGGCUUAACCUCGAGCUGUCGGCGGAAACCAUCUGGCUAGAGUCCGGAAGAGGAGAAUGGAAUUCCCGGUGUAGCGGUGAAAUGCGCAGAUAUCGGGAAGAACACCCGUGGCGAAGGCGGUUCUCUGGGACGGUACUGACGCUGAGACGCGAAAGCGUGGGGAGCGAACAGG